UUUCUUCUAUUCUUCUCUCUAUACGUUGGUGUUCUAACCAAUAAUCACCGAUGCGAUGUUCUGUCCGAUCGAUUCAGGAACCAACUAACGAAUGCCAAAGUGCUAUACUUUGAGAGUUCUUUAAAUGGAUGCCAAAGUACUAUACUUUGAGAGUUCGUUAAACGGAUGCCAAAGUACUAUACUUUGUGAUUUCGGUAAACGGAAUCCAAAGUGCUACACUUUGUGAAAUUCGUUAAGGUUCGAAUCUCGUGACUACCGUUAAGGUUUGAUUUGGGUUUUACACAAAUACGUAUUCCAUUCUGUUAAACUAUAUGUUUAACUACCAAGAAUACUCCCAACUACACACUUACAAUCAAACAAACUAUUAAAUCAUCAGAAGAUCCAGAAUAAUAAAGUGCAUGCUUAAAUUUAUCGGAAUAAGUAGAAUCAAGAAGCUUGUUAACUCAAUCCUGCAUGCUUAUAAAGUAAUUACAGUAGAUUGGAGUAAGGAUUUGAUCCGGCACUGAAAGACUUCAAGAAGUGGCUUAUUUUAUUAAUUAAAUCAAAGUAAGAAAUAUGAUUUUUAUUAAAAGCUACCUUUGUAAAACAUGGAAUUUAUUCCAUCUAUUUAAAUAAAAUCCGGUGUUUCUAAACUCUGAUAUUUUUCCUAACUCACGGUCCUGAUGAAAUUUCCGCUGCAAUGUUUUUC
rnacentral:lncRNA from 1 species